rnacentral:rRNA from 1 species
UACGUAGGGCGCAAGCGUUGUCCGGAAUUAUUGGGCGUAAAGAGCUCGUAGGCGGCUUGUCACGUCGGAUGUGAAAGCCCGGGGCUUAACUCCGGUUCUGCAUUCGAUACGGGCUAGCUAGAGUGUGGUAGGGGAGAUCGGAAUUCCUGGUGUAGCGGUGAAAUGCGCAGAUAUCUGGAGGAACACCGGUGGCGAAGGCGGCAUCCUGGACCGGUAUUGACGCUGAGGCGCGAAAGCCAGGGGAGCAA